GACGAACGCUGGCGGCGCGCCUAACACAUGCAAGUCGAACGGAGCUGAGAGAAGCUUGCUUUUCUUAGCUUAGUGGCGAACGGGUGAGUAACGCGUGAGUAACCUGCCCUGGAGUGGGGGACAACAGUUGGAAACGACUGCUAAUACCGCAUAAGCCCACGAUCCGGCAUCGGAUUGAGGGAAAAGGAUUUAUUCGCUUCAGGAUGGACUCGCGUCCAAUUAGCUAGUGGGUGAGGUAACGGCCCACCAAGGCGACGAUUGGUAGCCGGACUGAGAGGUGGACCGGCCACAUUGGGACUGAGACACGGCCCAGACUCCUACGGGAGGCAGCAGUGGGGGAUAUUGCACAAUGGGGGAAACCCUGAUGCAGCGACGCCGCGUGGAGGAAGAAGGUUUUCGGAUUGUAAACUCCUGUCGUUAGGGACGAUAAUGACGGUACCUAACAAGAAAGCACCGGCUAACUACGUG
rnacentral:rRNA from 1 species